rnacentral:rRNA from 1 species
GUGCGCUCAGAACGGUCGGAAAUCGUUCGAAGAGUAUAAAGGCAAAAGCGCGCUUAACUGCGAGACCCACAAGUCGAGCAGAUACGAAAGUAGGUCUUAGUGAUCCGGUGGUUCUGUAUGGAAGGGCCAUCGCUCAACGGAUAAAAGGUACCCCGGGGAUAACAGGCUGAUACCGCCCAAGAGUUCAUAUCGACGGCGGUGUUUGGCACCUCGAUGUCGGCUCAUCACAUCCUGGGGC